rnacentral:rRNA from 1 species
UUAUCUGCCCUGAGGUGGGGGAUAACCCGGGGAAACUCGGGCUAAUACCGCAUGAUACCGGGAGGUCAAAGGGGGCCGCAAGGCUCUCGCCAUGGGAGGAGUCCGCGUUCGAUUAGCUAGUUGGUAGGGUAAUGGCCUACCAAGGCGACGAUCGAUAGCCGGCCUGAGAGGGUGAUCGGCCACACUGGAACUGAGACACGGUCCAGACUCCUACGGGAGGCAGCAGUGGGGAAUUUUGCGCAAUGGGCGAAAGCCUGA